UAGGUACAAGUUUUCGACGGCGAAGGGAUAUACGAAACCAUAUAGCGGGUGGUUGAUGGUGAGAGGAAGUUAGGUUGGCUUGAAUAGCAAGUAGGAGGACAUUGAGGUUUAGAACUGAUAACUUUGUAAAAACUUUUUGAAUAUAUAUGUACCAUGAUGUUGAAUUUUAGAUAAGUUUUAACUUCACUAACUUGAACUUUACCGGCGCAGAGCCUUCCUUCUUAGGAAA